UGUCCCUUUGGAUUUUUCCCCAGAGUGCGCUCAUUCAGGGUGUUUGGGAACAAAACCAAACAUGUAUCAGUCGAGGAACUUGUGGAGUCAGUUGAAUUCCUGAAAAAAAAUGUCAUCAACUUUGAUGAUAAUGUCACACAUAAAGACGGCUUUUGGGGACAGGUGUGCAGUGCACUUACCAUUCCAAACACUAAAAACAAUCGCUAUAGACUGCUAAGAGCAUUUCGUAAGCACCAGCCAGAAUCGUUCCCAUCUCCAGUCCCAUCCGAAGACCGUGGAAGUGCAGCAGGAGAUGAAAGACGCAAGUCUUCUGAACCACACCAGCCAGAAUCGUCCCCAUCUCCAGUGACAUCCGAGGACAGUGGAAGUGCUGCAGGAGAUGCAACACACAAGUCUUCUGAACCACACCAGCCAGAAUCGUCUCCAUCUCCAGUGACAUCCGAGGACAGUGGAAGUGCUGCAGGAGAUGCAACACACAAGUCUUCUGAACCACACCAGCCAGAAUCGUCUCCAUCUCCAGUGACAUCCGAGGACAGUGGAAGU